GACGAACGCUGGCGGCAUGCCUAAUACAUGCAAGUCGAGCGAACAGAUGAAGUGCUUGCACUUCUGACGUUAGCGGCGAACGGGUGAGUAACACGUAAGGAAUCUACCUAUAAGCGGGGGAUAACAUUCGGAAACGGGUGCUAAUACCGCAUAAUAUCUUCUUCCGCAUGGAAGAAGAUUGAAAGACGGCUCUGCUGUCUCUUAUAGAUGACCUUGCGGUGCAUUAGUUAGUUGGUGGGGUAAUGGCCUACCAAGACGAUGAUGCAUAGCCGACCUGAGAGGGUGAUCGGCCACAUUGGGACUGUGACACGGCCCAAACUCCGACGGGAGGCAGCAGUAGGGAAUCUUCCGCAAUGGGCGAAAGCCUGACGGAGCAAUGCCGCGUGAGUGAAGAAGGCCUUCGGGUCGUAAAACUCUGUUAUAAGAGAAGAACAAAUUGUAGAGUAACUGCUACAGUCUUGACGGUAUCUUAUCAGAAAGCCACGGCUAACUACGUGCCAGCCGCCGCGGUAA
rnacentral:rRNA from 1 species